rnacentral:rRNA from 1 species
GGGCCCGCACAAGCGGUGGAGCAUGUGGUUUAAUUCGAUGCAACGCGAAGAACCUUACCAAGACUUGACAUACUGCGAAUUUUUCUGAGAAGAAGAAGUGCCUUCGGGAAUGCAGAUACAGGUGGUGCAUGGCUGUCGUCAGCUCGUGUCGUGAGAUGUUGGGUUAAGUCCCGCAACGAGCGCAACCCUUAUUUUUAGUUACUAAUUUUAUUAGGUUCUCUAGAAAGACUGCCGGUGAUAAACCGGAGGAAGGUGAGGAUGACGUCAAGUCAGCAUGCCCCUUAUGUCUUGGGCUACACACGUGCUACAAUGGUUAAGACAAAAAGUUGCUACUCUGUGAAGAGAUG